GUUCACGCCCACACACACUCUCAUCAGGUGAAACACCUGCGUGGACUUUGAGGAAACGUGCUCUGACUGGAAGAAGACGAGAAAAGUUCUUUUAAAACAAAACAUGUGACUUUGUUAUCAGUGUUGGACACAAGCAGAGUAUUGCAGCGGCCGCUCUGCUCCGACGUCGUCACCAGAUUAUUAAAAACACUUCAGUUCAGGAUGUCCGUGCUGGAGUUCUCAUCUGGAAACAGGCCUGACAAAAACAGAUGUUUGCUGCUCCACAAACCUCCACGUCUGUUGCUGAUCCACGUCCGACCGCGAAGCAGCAGCUUUAUCAGGAACAUGAGUCCGAGUGGAGGUUCAACUUUGACUUCGGACACAGCAUUUAACAAAAUAAACCGUAUCACAUGGUGACAAGC